rnacentral:rRNA from 1 species
UACGUAGGGGGCAAGCGUUGUCCGGAAUUAUUGGGCGUAAAGAGCGCGUAGGCGGUCCGAUAAGUCGGCUGUGAAAGUCCAGGGCUCAACCCUGGAAAGCCGGCCGAUACUGUCGGGCUAGAGUCCGGAAGAGGCAAGUGGAAUUCCCGGUGUAGCGGUGAAAUGCGCAGAUAUCGGGAGGAACACCAAUUGCGAAGGCAGCUUGCUGGGACGGUACUGACGCUGAGGCGCGAAAGCGUGGGGAGCAAACAGGG